rnacentral:rRNA from 1 species
UGGGAAUUUUGGACAAUGGGCGAAAGCCUGAUCCAGCAAUGCCGCGUGUGUGAAGAAGGCCUUCGGGUUGUAAAGCACUUUUGUCCGGAAAGAAAUCCUUGGCUCUAAUACAGUCGGGGGAUGACGGUACCGGAAGAAUAAGCACCGGCUAACUACGUGCCAGCAGCCGCGGUAAUACGUAGGGUGCAAGCGUUAAUCGGAAUUACUGGGCGUAAAGCGUGCGCAGGCGGUUUGCUAAGACCGAUGUGAAAUCCCCGGGCUCAACCUGGGAACUGCAUUGGUGACUGGCAGGCUAGAGUAUGGCAGAGGGGGGUAGAAUUCCACGUGUAGCAGUGAAAUGCGUAGAGAUGUGGAGGAAUACCGAUGGCGAAGGCAGCCCCCUGGGCCAAUACUGACGCUCAUGCACGAAAAGCGUGGGGAGCAAAACAGGAUUAGAUACCCUGGUAGUCCACGCCCUAAAACGAUGUCAACUAGUUGUUGGGGAUUCAUUUCCUUAGUAACGUAGCAACGCGUGAAGUUGACCGCCUGGGGAGUACGGUCGCAAGAUUAAAACUU